rnacentral:rRNA from 1 species
CAGCCGCCGCGGUAAUACAGAGGGUGCGAGCGUUAAUCGGAUUUACUGGGCGUAAAGCGUGCGUAGGCGGCUUCUUAAGUCGGAUGUGAAAUCCCUGAGCUUAACUUAGGAAUUGCAUUCGAUACUGGGAAGCUAGAGUAUGGGAGAGGAUGGUAGAAUUCCAGGUGUAGCGGUGAAAUGCGUAGAGAUCUGGAGGAAUACCGAUGGCGAAGGCAGCCAUCUGGCCUAAUACUGACGCUGAGGUACGAAAGCAUGGGGAGCAUACAGGAUUAGAGACCCCCGUAGUCCCUGUCUCUUAUAC